GGGAAGGAGGCUCAGUGGUAGAGUACUUGCCUCAUAUGCAUGAGGCCCUGGGUUCGAUUCCUCAGCACCCCA
rnacentral:tRNA from 1 species